rnacentral:pre_miRNA from 1 species
GAGACACCCUUCUGGGGCAAGACUUGCUUCAGUGGGCUUUGGUGCUCACUGAGUCUGGCCCCUGAGUGUGUCCCU